AUUGAACGCUGGCGGCAGGCCUAACACAUGCAAGUCGAGCGGAUGAAAGGGGCUUGCUCCUGGAUUCAGCGGCGGACGGGUGAGUAAUGCGCAGGAAUCUACCUAGUAGUGGGGGAUAACGUUUCGAAAGGAACGCUAAUACCGCAUACGUUCUGAGGAAGAAAGCAGGGGAUCGUAAGACCUUGCGCUAUUAGAUGAGCUUGCGUCCGAUUAGCUAGUUGGUGGGGUAAAGGCCUACCAAGGCGACGAUCGGUAACUGGUCUGAGAGGAUGAUCAGUCACACUGGAACUGAGACACGGUCCAGACUCCUACGGGAGGCAGCAGUGGGGAAUAUUGGACAAUGGGGGCAACCCUGAUCCAGCCAUGCCGCGUGUGUGAAGAAGGCCUCGGUG
rnacentral:rRNA from 1 species